rnacentral:rRNA from 1 species
GUGUACCGCGCUGACUAAGCAUAUCAAUAAGUCGGAGGAGAAGRAACCAACAGGGAUUGCCUUAGUAACGGCGAGUGAAGCGGCAACAGCUCAAAUUUGAAAGCUGGCCCUUUUAGGGUCCGCGUUGUAAUUUGUAGAGGAUGAUUCGGCGAGGGCUCCUGCCUAAGUCCCCUGGAACGGGGCGUCAUAGAGGGUGAGAAUCCCGUAUGCGGUAGGUUGCCUUAGCCAUGUGAAUCUCCUUCGACGAGUCGAGUUGUUUGGGAAUGCAGCUCUAAAUGGGAGGUAAAUUUCUUCUAAAGCUAAAUACUGGCCAGAGACCGAUAGCGCACAAGUAGAGUGAUCGAAAGAUGAAAAGCACUUUGGAAAGAGAGUUAAAAAGUACGUGAAAUUGUUGAAAGGGAAGCGCUUGCAACCAGACUUGUCCGCAGUUGCUCAGCCGGUCUCCUGACCGGCGUACUCUUCUGCGGCCAGGCCAGCAUCAGUUCGGGCGGUCGGAUAAAGGCCUCGGGAAUGUAGCUCCUCUCGGGGAGUGUUAUAGCCCGGGGUGGAAUGCGACCAGCCUGGACUGAGGAUCUCGCUUCGGCAAGGAUGCUGGCGUAAUGGUUGUAAGCGGCCCGUCUUGAAACACGGACCAAGGAGUCUAACAUCUAUGCGAGUGUUCGGGUGUCAAACCCGUACGCGUAAUGAAAGUGAACGGAGGUGGGAACCCGCAAGGGUGCACCAUCGGCCGAUCCUGAUGUCUUCGGAUGGAUUUGAGCAAGAGCAUAGCUGUUGGGACCCGAAAGAUGGUGAACUAUGCCUGAAUAGGGUGAAGCCAGAGGAAACUCUGGUGGAGGCUCGCAGCGGUUCUGACGUGCAAAUCGAUCGUCAAAUUUGGGUAUAGGGGCGAAAGACUAAUCGAACCAUCUAGUAGCCCCUGGUUCCUGCCGAAGUUCCCCUUCAGGAAUA